rnacentral:rRNA from 1 species
AUUGAACGCUGGCGGCAGGCCUAACACAUGCAAGUUGAACGGUAACAGGAAGCAGCUUGCUGCUUUGCUGACGAGUGGCGGACGGGUGAGUAAUGUCUGGGAAACUGCCCGAUGGAGGGGGAUAACUACUGGAAACGGUAGCUAAUACCGCAUAACGUCGCAAGACCAAAGAGGGGGACCUUAGGGCCUCUUGCCAUCGGAUGUGCCCAGAUGGGAUUAGCUAGUAGGUGGGGUAACGGCUCACCUAGGCGACGAUCCCUAGCUGGUCUGAGAGGAUGACCAGCCACACUGGAACUGAGACACGGUCCAGACUCCUACGGGAGGCAGCAGUGGGGAAUAUUGCACAAUGGGCGCAAGCCUGAUGCAGCCAUGCCGCGUGUAUGAAGAAGGCCUUCGGGUUGUAAAGUACUUUCAGCGGGGAGGAAGGGAGUAAAGUUAAUACCUUUGCUCAUUGACGUUACCCGCAGAAGAAGCACCGGCUAACUCCGUG